rnacentral:rRNA from 1 species
AUAGGGGAGCCGCAGGGAAACCGAGUCUUAACUGGGCGUUAAGUUGCAGGGUAUAGACCCGAAACCCGGUGAUCUAGCCAUGGGCAGGUUGAAGGUUGGGUAACACUAACUGGAGGACCGAACCGACUAAUGUUGAAAAAUUAGCGGAUGACUUGUGGCUGGGGGUGAAAGGCCAAUCAAACCGGGAGAUAGCUGGUUCUCCCCGAAAGCUAUUUAGGUAGCGCCUCGUGAACUCAUCUUCGGGGGUAGAGCACUGUUUCGGCUAGGGGGUCAUCCCGACUUACCAACCCGAUGCAAACUACGAAUACCGAAGAAUGUUAUCACGGGAGACACACGGCGGGUGCUAACGUCCGUCGUGAAGAGGGAAACAACCCAGACCGCCAGCUAAGGUCCCAAAGUCAUGGUUAAGUGGGAAACGAUGUGGGAAGGCCCAGACAGCCAGGAUGUUGGCUUAGAAGCAGCCAUCAUUUAAAGAAAGCGUAAUAGCUCACUGGUCGAGUCGGCCUGCGCGGAAGAUGUAACGGGGCUAAACCAUGCACCGAAGCUGCGGCAGCGACACUAUGUGUUGUUGGGUAGGGGAGCGUUCUGUAAGCCGUUGAAGGUGGCCUGUGAGGGUUGCUGGAGGUAUCAGAAGUGCGAAUGCUGACAUAAGUAACGAUAAUGCGGGUGAAAAACCCGCACGCCGGAAGACCAAGGGUUCCUGUCCAACGUUAAUCGGGGCAGGGUGAGUCGACCCCUAAGGCGAGGCCGAAAGGCGUAGUCGAUGGGAAACAGGUUAAUAUUCCUGUACUUGGUGUUACUGCGAAGGGGGGACGGAGAAGGCUAUGUUGGCCGGGCGACGGUUGUCCCGGUUUAAGCAUGUAGGCGGAUGUUCCAGGUAAAUCCGGAACGUUAUUAACGCUGAGGUGUGAUGACGAGGCACUACGGUGCUGAAGUGACAAAUGCCCUGCUUCCAGGAAAAGCCUCUAAGCAUCAGGUAACAUCAAAUCGUACCCCAAACCGACACAGGUGGUCAGGUAGAGAAUACCAAGGCGCUUGAGAGAACUCGGGUGAAGGAACUAGGCAAAAUGGUGCCGUAACUUCGGGAGAAGGCACGCUGAUGGUAAGUGAAGUGACUUGCUCAUGGAGCUGAAAUCAGUCGAAGAUACCAGCUGGCUGCAACUGUUUAUUAAAAACACAGCACUGUGCAAACACGAAAGUGGACGUAUACGGUGUGACGCCUGCCCGGUGCCGGAAGGUUAAUUGAUGGGGUUAUCCUCACGGAGAAGCUCUUGAUCGAAGCCCCGGUAAACGGCGGCCGUAACUAUAACGGUCCUAAGGUAGCGAAAUUCCUUGUCGGGUAAGUUCCGACCUGCACGAAUGGCGUAAUGAUGGCCAGGCUGUCUCCACCCGAGACUCAGUGAAAUUGAACUCGCUGUGAAGAUGCAGUGUACCCGCGGCAAGACGGAAAGACCCCGUGAACCUUUACUAUAGCUUGACACUGAACACUGGUCCUUGAUGUGUAGGAUAGGUGGGAGGCUUUGAAGUGUGGACGCCAGUCUGCAUGGAGCCGUCCUUGAAAUACCACCCUUUAAUGGCUGGUGUUCUAACGUGGGCCCGUGAUCCGGGUUGCGGACAGUGUCUGGUGGGUAGUUUGACUGGGGCGGUCUCCUCCUAAAGAGUAACGGAGGAGCACGAAGGUCAGCUAAUCCUGGUCGGACAUCAGGAGGUUAGUGCAAUGGCAUAAGCUGGCUUGACUGCGAGCGUGACGGCGCGAGCAGGUGCGAAAGCAGGUCAUAGUGAUCCGGUGGUUCUGAAUGGAAGGGCCAUCGCUCAACGGAUAAAAGGUACUCCGGGGAUAACAGGCUGAUACCGCCCAAGAGUUCAUAUCGACGGCGGUGUUUGGCACCUCGAUGUCGGCUCAUCACAUCCUGGGGCUGAAGUAGGUCCCAAGGGUAUGGCUGUUCGCCAUUUAAAGUGGUACGCGAGCUGGGUUUAGAACGUCGUGAGACAGUUCGGUCCCUAUCUGCCGUGGGCGCUGGAGAAUUGAGGGGGGCUGCUCCUAGUACGAGAGGACCGGAGUGGACGCAUCACUGGUGUUCGGGUUGUCAUGCCAAUGGCAUUGCCCGGUAGCUAAAUGCGGAAGAGAUAAGUGCUGAAAGCAUCUAAGCACGAAACUUGCCCCGAGAUGAGUUCUCCCUGACUCCUUGAGAGUCCUGAAGGAACGUUGAAGACGACGACGUUGAUAGGCCGGGUGUGUAAGCGCAGCGAUGCGUUGAGCUAACCGGUACUAAUGAACCGUGAGGCUUAACCUU